rnacentral:rRNA from 1 species
UGGGGAAUAUUGCACAAUGGGCGCAAGCCUGAUGCAGCCAUGCCGCGUGUGUGAAGAAGGCCUUCGGGUUGUAAAGCACUUUCAGCGAGGAGGAAGGGUAGUGUGUUAAUAGCACAUUGCAUUGACGUUACUCGCAGAAGAAGCACCGGCUAACUCCGUGCCAGCAGCCGCGGUAAUACGGAGGGUGCAAGCGUUAAUCGGAAUUACUGGGCGUAAAGCGCACGCAGGCGGUUUGUUAAGUCAGAUGUGAAAUCCCCGCGCUUAACGUGGGAACUGCAUUUGAAACUGGCAAGCUAGAGUCUUGUAGAGGGGGGUAGAGUUCCAGGUGUAGCGGUGAAAUGCGUAGAGAUCUGGAGGAAUACCGGUGGCGAAGGCGGCCCCCUGGACAAAGACUGACGCUCAGGUGCGAAAGCGUGGGGAGCAAACA